rnacentral:lncRNA from 1 species
UUGCUUUGUUGCCCAGGCUGGAGUACAGUGGCAUGAUCUCAGCUCCUCACUCCAACCUCUUUCUCCUGGGUUUAAGCAAUUCUUGUGCCUCAGCCUCCCAAGUACCUAGGAUUACAGACGUGCACCACCACACCUGGCUAAUUUUUGUAUUUUUCCGUACGCCACAUUUCCCGCGCCCCACCGCGGGGCGGGGAUUCGGCGCUGGGCUCUUCCCUGUUCACUCGCCAUUACUGAGGGAAUCCUGGUUAGUUUCUUUUCCUCCGCUGACAAAUAUGCUUAAAUUCAGCGGGUCGCCACGUCUGAUCUGAGGUCGCGGGCCUCGAUCAGAAGGACUUGGGCCCCACACGAGCGGCGCCGGGGAGUGGGUCUUCCGUACGCCACAUUUCCCGCGCCCCACCGCGGGGCGGGGAUUCU